rnacentral:rRNA from 1 species
AGCGGUAACAGCUCAAAUUUGAAAUCUGGCCCUUUUAGGGUCCGAGUUGUAAUUUGUAGAAGAUGCUUUGGGUGUGGCUCCGGUCUAAGUUCCUUGGAACAGGACGUCAUAGAGGGUGAGAAUCCCGUAUGUGACUGGCGGCCUUCGCCCGUGUAAAGCUCUUUCGACGAGUCGAGUUGUUUGGGAAUGCAGCUCUAAAUGGGAGGUAUAUUUCUUCUAAAGCUAAAUACUGGCCAGAGACCGAUAGCGCACAAGUAGAGUGAUCGAAAGAUGAAAAGCACUUUGGAAAGAGAGUUAAACAGUACGUGAAAUUGUUGAAAGGGAAGCGCUUGCAACCAGACUUGCAUGCCGUCGAUCAUCGUGGGUUCUCCCGCGUGCACUCGGCGGCGUUCAGGCCAGCAUCGGUUCCGGUGGUUGGAUAAAGGCCUUGGGAAUGUGGCUCCUCUCGGGGAGUGUUAUAGCCCUCGGUGCAAUGCAGCCUACUGGGACCGAGGACCGCGCUUCGGCUAGGAUGCUGGCGUAAUGGUUGUAAGCGACCCGUCUUGAAACACGGACCAAGGAGUCUAACAUCUAUGCGAGUGUUAGGGUGUUAAACCCUUCCGCGAAAUUAACGUGAACGGAGGUACGAACCCUUUAGGGCGCAGUAUCGACCGGUCCUGAUGUCUUCGGAUGGAUCUGAGUAAGAGCAUAGCUGUUGGGACCCGAAAGAUGGUGAACUAUGCCUGAAUAGGGUGAAGCCAGAGGAAACUCUGGUGGAGGCUCGCAGCGGUUCUGACGUGCAAAUCGAUCGUCAAAUUAGGGCAUAGGGGCGAAAGA